rnacentral:rRNA from 1 species
GAUGAACGCUGGCGGCGUGCCUAAUACGUGCAAGUCGAGCGAACAGAUGAGGAGCUUGCUCCUCUGACGUUAGCGGCGGACGGGUGAGUAACACGUGGAUAACCUACCUAUAAGACUGGGAUAACUUCGGGAAACCGGAGCUAAUACCGGAUAAUAUAUUGAACCGCAUGGUUCAAUAGUGAAAGACGGUUUUGCUGUCACUUAUAGAUGGAUCCGCGCCGCAUUAGCUAGUUGGUAAGGUAACGGCUUACCAAGGCAACGAUGCGUAGCCGACCCGAGAGGGUGAUCGGCCACACUGGAACUGAGACACGGUCCAGACUCCUACGGGAGGCAGCAGUAGGGAAUCUUCCGCAAUGGGCGAAAGCCUGACGGAGCAACGCCGCGUGAGUGAUGAAGGUCUUCGGAUCGUAAAACUCUGUUAUUAGGGAAGAACAAAUGUGUAAGUAACUAUGCACGUCUUGACGGUACCUAAUCAGAAAGCCACGGCUAACUACGUG